rnacentral:rRNA from 1 species
UACGUAGGGUGCGAGCGUUGUCCGGAAUUAUUGGGCGUAAAGAGCUUGUAGGCGGUUUGUCGCGUCUGCUGUGAAAAUCCGGGGCUCAACCCCGGACUUGCAGUGGGUACGGGCAGACUAGAGUGUGGUAGGGGAGACUGGAAUUCCUGGUGUAGCGGUGGAAUGCGCAGAUAUCAGGAGGAACACCGAUGGCGAGGGCAGGUCUCUGGGCCACUACUGACGCUGAGAAGCGAAAGCGUGGGGAGCGAACAGG